rnacentral:rRNA from 1 species
CCUACGGGAGGCAGCAGUGAGGAAUAUUGGUCAAUGGCCGUAAGGCUGAACCAGCCAAGUAGCGUGAGGGAAGAUUGCCCUAUGGGUUGUAAACCUCUUUUAUGCGGAGAUAAAGGUGUCCACGUGUGGAUGUUUGCAGGUACCGCAUGAAUAAGGACCGGCUAAUUCCGGGCAAGGAGCCGCGGUAAUACGGAAGGUCCGGGCGUUGUCCGGAUUUAUUGGGUUUAAAGGGAGCGUAGGCCGGUCUUUAAGCGUGCCGUGAAAUUUUGUGGCUGAACCAUGAGAGUGCGGGGGGAACUGGAGACCUUGAGUGCGCGGGAGGCAGGCGGAAUUCGUGGUGUAGCGGUGAAAUGCUUAGAUAUCACGAAGAACCCCGAUGGCGAAGGCAGCCUGCCGCAGCGAUACUGACGCUGAGGCUCGAAAGCGCGGGGAUCGAACAGGAUUAGAUACCCUAGUAGUC